GACGAACGCUGGCGGCGUGCCUAAUACAUGCAAGUAGAACGCUGAAGAGAGGAGCUUGCUCUUCUUGGAUGAGUUGCGAACGGGUGAGUAACGCGUAGGUAACCUGCCUGGUAGCGGGGGAUAACUAUUGGAAACGAUAGCUAAUACCGCAUAAAAUGGAUUAUCGCAUGAUAAUCCAUUGAAAGGUGCAAAUGCAUCACUACCAGAUGGACCUGCGUUGUAUUAGCUAGUUGGUGGGGUAACGGCUCACCAAGGCGACGAUACAUAGCCGACCUGAGAGGGUGAUCGGCCACACUGGGACUGAGACACGGCCCAGACUCCUACGGGAGGCAGCAGUAGGGAAUCUUCGGCAAUGGACGGAAGUCUGACCGAGCAACGCCGCGUGAGUGAAGAAGGUUUUCGGAUCGUAAAGCUCUGUUGUAAGAGAAGAACGAGUGUGAGAGUGGAAAGUUCACACUGUGACGGUAUCUUACCAGAAAGGGACGGCGAACUACGU
rnacentral:rRNA from 1 species